rnacentral:rRNA from 1 species
UACGUAGGGGGCAAGCGUUGUUCGGAAUGACUGGGCGUAAAGGGUGCGUAGGCGGUGUAGCAAGUUAGAAGUGAAAUACCUAGAGCUUAACUCAGGUGCUGCUUCUAAAACUGCUAUACUUGAGUGCAGUAGAGGAAAGCGGAAUUCCUAGUGUAGCGGUGGAAUGCGUAGAUAUUAGGAGGAACAUCAGUGGCGAAGGCGACUUUCUGGACUGUAACUGACGCUGAGGCACGAAAGUGUGGGGAGCAAACAGG